UACGGAGGGUGCUAGCGUUGUUCGGAAUCACUGGGCGUAAAGGGUGCGUAGGCGGCCGCGCAAGUCUGGCGUGAAAGCCCCGGGCUCAGCCCGGGAAGGGCGCUCGAAACGGCGCGGCUCGAGUGCCGGAGGGGAGAGUGGAAUUCCUGGUGUAGCGGUGAAAUGCGUAGAUAUCAGGAGGAAUACCGGUGGCGAAAGCGACUCUCUGGACGGCAACUGACGCUGAGGCACGAAAGCGUGGGGAGCAAACAGG
rnacentral:rRNA from 1 species